CGGCAACAGCUCAAAUUUGAAAUCUCCUUCGGGCGAAUUGUAAUUUGUAGAGGAUGCUUUGGAGUCGGCCCGGUCUAAGUUCCUUGGAACAGGACGUCACAGAGGGUGAGAAUCCCGUACGUGGCCGGUGCCCCAUCCGUGUAAAGCUCCUUCGAC
rnacentral:rRNA from 1 species